UACGGGGGGGGGCAAGCGUUGUUCGGAAUUACUGGGCGUAAAGGGCUCGUAGGCGGCCAACUAAGUCGGAUGUGAAAUCCCCAGGCUCAACCUGGGAACUGCAUCCGAUACUGGAUGGCUUGAAUUCGGGAGAGGGAUGCAGAAUUCCAGGUGUAGCGGUGAAAUGCGUAGAUAUCUGGAGGAACACCGGUGGCGAAGGCGGCAUCCUGGACCAACACUGACACUGAUGAGCGAAAGCCAGGGGAGCAAACGGG
rnacentral:rRNA from 1 species